CCUGCCCUCAGGAUGUGUGGGGCUGACCCCAUCCAGGCAGUUCCAGAAGGUUCUGCCUUCUUCGCUGCCAUCUUCUGGUCCCGCAGGCUGGAACAGUCACAUCUCAAGCUGCACUCACCUCCCCCAAACAUCCAAUUAUACCAGGGAUCCCAGAGUUAAUAUUUUUGGUUUCAAAGCUUCAUUUUAUCUGAGCCUCUAUAAAUAAGAUUCUCAUGAAGUAUUUAUACACACUAACCCAGCUCAGAGAAAGAAAUAGAAGUAAUGGAUGAUUACAGAUGGCAAGGUGGCUGAAUCCUGGCGCAGGAGAUUGUGCAGCGUGAUCCCGAUGAGCUACCUGAUAGACAUGGCAAAACAAAAAUAUCCUUGAUUUCUGCUUGCAUGUUUUGCAGGACUUUUGAGCAAGUAGUGCCUGAAAUAAGAGUCCAUUUCACAGCUCAUCUUUCCUCUGAGAAGCCCUGGUGGAAACAAUCACAUUCCCCAGAAGAAGAUAGCAGCUUGGCUGUUGCUGCUCUUCUGUGUUUGUAUCAGAGGUGUGAAAUUGAAUGCCUGUGAGUUCUGCUCCAUGAGGAUCAAAGUCCUUUUAUCCAGAUGAGUGCACCAGGUUAUAUGACAGACCUUUAAGCUGAGGACCAGCCAGCUUGUAACUGGAGUGUGGCAGAGACUGGUACAUCUCAACUCCAACUAAUUCCAGUAUAAAGAUAGAUUUAAGACAAGUGCCAUCCAGCAAAUGGACAGCAAUGUGAAUUCCUUUGUAAAACAGUGGAUACAGUUCUCAGCUGCACACAGAGGUGAGUGGAGAAUGGAAUCGCUUCAGCUCCUCCAAAUUGGGAUCACUUUUCCACUCCUUAAAGAGAAAAGAUAAUGCAAUUGAAGUGACAUUGUAUUAAUGGUGGAUCACGUCAGCUAAUAAUUAGUCAAUACAUUACAUUGCCCCAUUUAGGUUUUCUUUUCCUAUUUAAGUAGCAGCACAGUUCAUUUCUUGUGUGUGUUAAAUCUUCUCUAGUACACGCUGUGAGCAAUGAAUUAAGUGUGAACAUCAGAACAGCAUCCUGGAACGGAAAGGAGGUUGUCAAAUUAAUUUCUGACAAGUGCCAGGAUGAGGAUCAUGGCAGUUUGCAUGUAAAAGCUGUACUGGAUGGCAAACUUCAUGGCCCAUCAAAUUCAAGGACCAAAAUGGAAAUGAACUUGUAAUUUUUUCAGUACAAUAAGUAUUAUUUUUACCUUACUUUCUACCUCCUUUGUUAUUUAAUAACCUAUUUGAAGAACAUUUCCCUGUACUUUUAUUACUUUAGAAAGUAUUUAGUUUUCUAUUCUAUCAUACGAAAUUCAGGUUUUACAACUAUAAAAUUCCAAAAUGUUUUACAAGUGGCCCUGAUCCUACAAAGACCUACCCAUCUGUUUAGCUGAAUAAUAAUAAUCAUUUAUAUUCCAAUAGUGCCCUUUAUCUUGCUUGGUCUGUACACAGAACCAUCUGCUUCAAAUUGACUGCCUUUCAGACUCAGCUCUCCAAGAGCCCUGACCUUGUAAUCUCAUCUAUGCCUUUGACCUUGCAGAGCUGCUCUGAAUCAAGGAUUAGGGUCUGCCACACACAAGGCAGCUUGUGAAAGCAGGGUCUAACAUUACAGAUUUGUAAUUGAAGUCAAUGAACUUUUUUCCUGAAUAUGACUUGAAUUUCUGAUUUGUUUUUCAGUAAGACAAAGCAAGAAAUGAAAUGUAGGCUCGUUUUCUCCAUGUGCCUUCUCAUCUGAAAGUCUCUUUUUGGCCUGCUAAAGCAUAAAGUAAAUGUACCUCUGGCUGUUAGACUGGGCUGUUUAUUCCACCCACUGAUUUUUCUCUCUUUUCCAAAGAGUAAAUGCAUUUUAUUUUUCAUUAUAUAAUGCUUAGAGAAACAAGUAAAGCUAUCACUAGAGAAGGGAGUACUUCCAGCAAGCAAGCAAGCAAGCAAGAUUGCCUACUGAGGCAUGUGUUUGAUGGUAAAUGAAUUGUAUUUGUGAACUGCCUCCUAUUUACUGUAAGGCUUUCAAUAGUAAUCUUUCUUGAGCUAAAUUACAUUAUCACAAUAAAGUUAAAAGGAACAUGAUUUCUUCAGCCAAACCUACUUAGUCAUCAAGAACCCCAGCUGCUUUGAAGUGCUCCUGCAGUCCUAACUAAUAGAAGAGACUUGCCAACGUGUGGCCUUGCCUUUCACAGAAACAUUAUUGGUGAGGUGUGGAGCAUGUGGAGCACGCACAUGGAAUAUCAAUGCAAGAAGUCUGCAUGGUCUUUCCAAUUUGAGAAUGGCUCUUCUAUGUCUUCAGGCCUCUUCACUCUAACACUGUGAAGCUUUGGAGGAUCCAAAAUUAUUUCCUUACUCUCUGUAUACGUGUCUUACAUUCCUUUUCUUAGCCUUAAAUUCUUGCCAAUUUGUUUGUCUCAUACAUUCAGUGACUGCUGUUCUCAGAAGAGUCACUUAAACCUUUUAACAACAGAACCUGAUUUCUUCUUUGAUAUCAGAGCCUACAAGAAAAAGAAACAUAAAACUCUUCCAAACUAUUAUAUUUCGAGUGCAAAUUAUGCUAUCAUCUAAAAUUCUGAAUGACCACCCCAUACGCUUCACAUUUUGGUCCUGCUUUGAGCACAGGGUUUGGAUAGGGUGACUUCUAGAGUUCUUUCCAAAGUAGAGUAUUGGAAAAUAUGGACUGUGAUUCUCAUCUAUCAGAUGAAGUUUUUGAAGCUGUAGCAGGCCGUUUGACUCUGCAGAGAUGCAAGAAUUUAGGGAUGAAUAUUUAACUGCAGUUUUUUUUUGUACUGUCCUGGUUGCAGUCAUGCUUUAAAUUAACAAGUUAUCUUAAUUGUUGUUUUGGCAUAUUUUCUGUAAUAAAUUAUUUUCUUUUAAUUUAUAGCUCCUUUAGUGUUUCUCUGUAGCACUUUUUGCAAGCUAAUAGGAUCUCUUGUCUGAAAAGUUAGACAAUAGAAGAGAUAUUAUAAAUUGUAAUUGUAUGUAAUUGCUGCUUUGUAAGCAUUUAUGGGGGAAAGAAAAGAUUCCUUAUUCUUUCAAAUUCGAGUUUCUCUGUACAAAUGUUUGUAAAUCUGUCUCUUUGUUUUCUAAUUAUUUGGGUUCGUUUGUCCUAAUGAAGAUCUGAGAAUGUUUGCAGGCCUUUCUGUGUACCAUACACAGGGUGUCAACAUCAGGAGCUGCUCAGAAUCGCUCCCAUGACAUCACUGUGUCUUCCUGCCUCCUGAUGAAACUUGAGGAAAACUGAAAUUGUUUAAUGCUGUGAGGCAGUUGGUGACUUUCAUGCUUUUAAAAUGUAGUCUUUAUGUGUGCAGUUUUCUGUUGUUUUCCAGAUAGGUAUUGCCUAUAAUUCUGCCCUUAGAAACAUUGAGGAAAGUGGCAUGGUUAGUUUUUCCUAUCCAAAAUUUGACAAGUGUUCCAAAUGAAGGGGAAGUCGUAAUUGCCCACCUUCAACAUUGGCUUUUUCAGGGCACGAACAAUGCUUACUUAAGUUCUGAGUCGUUUGCAAGAGGUAAAAAAAUAAAAGAGAAUGCCUGAAAGUGAGUGGAGUGCAUCUGUAGUGUUUUGCAUUUUAUGUUGCUACAACCUAAAACAAUCAGAAUAUUAAGAGUUACCUCUUUGGGACAGUGACAAUUAUUUUACAGAGGUGCAAAAGACACGAGGAAUGGAAAAUACGCUCUCCUAUUUCAAGAUGCUGUUUCAAAUGAUCCUCAGUGGCAGAGGACUGCCUUGCUAUGAUCAAAAAUUAUUUAAGGUAUGGAUGGCAUAGUAAAGAAAAAUAGCUGGCAAAGUGUGGCAAAUAAUCUCAGUUUGUGACAAUCU